ACAUCAUACAUUCCAAGUAAUGCAGCACACUACUCUGGACCACGGUGACCUUUUAAAUAUUCUGCAAAUUGAUUUCCAGGCCAUUCCCACUCUCCCUUGUUUAUAGCCUUGGUAACCCAGAAGAAAAUGAGACUGGCCAGCUGUGAUUCCUGCAUUUCUGUUCUCAUCAGUGCUCAGAAUUACAUUUCUUUCUCUCCCAAAGGCUUCAUGACAACGCUUACUGUUGAUCUAGAGAGCAGCAGCACCAAGAAUCUUCAAUAAGGACAAGUUUAAGAGCUAUAAGCAGUUGUGUGGACUCCUUAGAGCCUUCUGCCUGAGAUGAUGCUGCCAGAGGGCCCUUGCCAGAUAUUGCCACCUUGAUAUUAGACUUCCCAUCCUCCAAAACUGUUUAUAAGAAAACUCCUUAAAGCCGGAGAAGAGUUGAGAUGCUGAAAGCAAAAGACAUAUAUGCUAGCUCCAACACACAUUCAGUUCCUCUGAACAAUAAGGAAGCUUAUAUGGUGUUAUCAAAAGGUCUCAUCAAAUUAUUUUAUGUAGAAGAGCACCCAAAUGUUAUUUCUUGCUGUUCCUCUUCUUUUCCUCAAGAGAAAGAAGGUUGAAAACUGAAAAUGAUGAAGUUGAAGAAUGAAGUCAAUGAGUGUUAAGAAGAGAUUCAUUUAUCCUUGAAAAAUGAAAAAGUAGAGUGCUGGUGGUGAUCAUGUCUUCCCUUCACCCAUGGGGACUUUUCAUUUAUCGCUGCCACUCCAGCAUGUUCACUAUUCUCUGUAGCAUGAAAAUCUGAUAAAGCUCAUGAGGGGAGAGAAAACUUAACUUCAAUAUUUUCCUGCUGAGCCUGAGAGUGCUUUGUAUACCCUAGCAAGAUGAAAAUCUUAGCUGCAGCAUCAGGAAGAGGACACCUCACUUUAUCCUACAUUCCUAUCUCAGUCAGGAAAGUAGCUCUAGAGAAGGAACUAAGAAGUCAAGGCCUUUUGUGAAGUUGCUCUGUUAUCUCUGUGGCCCCAAAGACCAAAAUGAUGGAGAAAAUGAAACCAGGAUGAUUUCUGACAUCUGCUUCCACUCCACCUUCUUUAACCACUUCAUCCACAUCUCUCUUAGCUUCUCACAUAAGUCUCACCUGGAAUCAUCUUAUUUACACCAAUAAAUUUACCUACCACCUGCCUGUUGAUUGCCAAA
rnacentral:lncRNA from 1 species